rnacentral:lncRNA from 1 species
AGGCUGGAAGACCAUAAUCAAGUGUAGGUCAUUGAGGGAGGGUACAAAGUUGUUCUCCACACAUUCAGAGACUCAGCCUCUUGCCAUCCUUUGAUGCCACCAUCUUCAACACGUGACCUCCAAGUUUUCUCUGGAACAGGAAGAGCGAACAGAAGAUUAAAUGUGAGAGAUUUUAUGGCCAAGGGGUGGCACAUCAUCACUUCUGUCCACUUUCCCUUGUUCAGAACUCAACCACAAGAUGCCAAGCUAUUUGCUGAGGAUCUGGACAUUUAGCUGUGUGUCCAGUGAGGAAGAAAACUGGGUUUGGUGAACACAUACCAUUGUCUCUGCCAUGGAAGUGAUAAUUUACACUCCAGCUGGUGAUCGAUCAUCUCAGAAUGGUGCAUGAGGUGAGCUGACAACGGCAGCCAGGGGAAGGAACGCGAGGGCCCAGGAUGGAAAUGAGAGCUUCAAAUGUGAGAACACAUUCCAGCUGCAGGAUCAGAGGACUUUUCCUACAGCCCAUAAGUGCCUGCAGCUCUAUCGGAUUUGCAAAUCUACAAAAGAGAGCACAUCCUAUUGUUCCCGGUUUUGAGUUUUUUUAAUAGUAUGUCUUGUAAAAUGCUGGUUGCUGGUGGACAGGGGUGUUUUACAGAUAGGUGUGACUCAGGAGGGGAAAUGGGUGGGCAGAGACAGCCACAAGGAAUUCCACACAUGAAGGAAAUGCUCCCACUUGUGUUUUCUAUUUGUGUUUUAAAUUUGGGGAGCGACUCACAGGCACUCAGCAAAAGUAACUAAUUAUAUUAACCUUAUCAGUAGUGAGGUUUCCUGGUCUCUCAUCAGACACUCAGCUCACUGGCUGGUAUUUAAUUGGGAGCCUGGUGGCCAGUGAAAACAGUGUGGGAUGAGUCACACUUUAACAAGUUUUUAUAGUACAGCAACCUUGCUGUAUAAUAGCCAGACAUUAUUAAAAUUCAGAUAUGGUACACUGACUUGUUUGUUUUCCUUAUUCACAUGAAACAGAUGCUCAGGACUCAUUUUACUUACACACAGUAAAUGAGGGUCAGCUGUGUUGAGGGAAGUGAGUACUUUGUUCUGGAAGGAUAGAUGUUGUAGCAAUUGUCUUGCUCUGAUUGUAUUUGAAAAGAAUGAAUGUUGUUAGUACAAUUUGGUAUUCUUCCAAUGCCUAGUUGGAGUUCAAGGGAUAUAAAACUGGGCGCUUGAGGAGUGGGAUGGAAAAGGAUGGAGAAGGAAGGUCAAAUAUGGCUUUGAAGGGGAUCAGCAGAAGCCAGAGGCCGCAGUGGUGAACACUCCUUGUGAAUGGCCCUUUGCACCCACGGCUUGGUGAACCCAGCAUGGACCGUGGAGAGAGGACCUGCCUAAAAACCAGAGACGGGGUUUGCCUCUCCGCAUCACCACUGGCUUGCUGCAUCAAGAAUCUGCCUUUCAGCUUCUUCACCUGAAACAAGACUUUAUUACUCAGAGCACGUGCAUGGAAAUAAGCAUUUGGGUUUUAAAAGAUGGGAGUGUCUAGUCAUUGAAACAUUUGGCCAAUCCCACUCAGACUCUGUGGAACCACAGCUAUGACUCCUUGGAGGGAAAUCUUGUCUCUUCUUCUUUUUAAGAGCACUGGAAUCACCCAUGAGUCCAAGACGGAAGGCUGAUGAAGAGAAGGAACAGGGAGAGGGAAUUAACUUUCCUGAGCUCAAAGAGGCCGACCCCUGGCAUCUGUGGAGUCCAUGCUCCCUUGCAGCCGGCAUCUGGCUGAGUUGGUUUAACAGGACUCAUUGGCUGGAGCUUGGUGGUAGGAGGAAGAAAGAAGCUUGCGAGGUGGCUCCUCUGGCAGUGACUUCAUCUCCUCCCAGACAACUCCAGGUCCCUCCCAGGUCCCAGCUCCCACCAGGCAGCCCACCUCAUGGGUUCAGCUCCCACAGGUUCCCAGGGAUGCUGAUGCUGCUGGUUCAGGACCACUCUCUGAGAAGCUGGGCCCCAGCAGGUCUAGGAGUGGAAAGGGCUCCUCUCUAGGGAGGCUGCACCGCCCUUCUCAUGCCCCCUUCACCCUGCCCACUCUUUUGUAUAAUAAAUGUAUAAUCAUUAUGCUGUUCUCAGUUACCCUGUUUGGGUGGGCCCCAGUUCCUGCUGUGCCCUGCCUCGUCCUGUGCUUUUAACUCAUUACAUUUAAGACUUUAUACAAAUUGCCUUUUAAAACAACAAAAACAGAGAAAAUAAAAGCAAAAAGCCGGCCCUCCUAACUCCUAGUGACCCAGGUCAACAAGAAGGAUCCAGACAACAGCAUGACACUGCUUUCUUCUUGAGAGAAAUCAGAGAAAAAAAAAAAAAAAGAAAAAAAAC